AUGGAUGAAGCACAGUGCUUGCAAUGGCUUGAUUCAAUGAAGCCAGGCUCAGUGGUCUUUGUCAGCUUUGGCAGCCUCGCUUGCACUACACCUCAACAGCCUGUUGAGUUGGGACUGGGACUUGAAACCUCCAGGAAACCGUUUAUUUGGGUGAUCAAAGCAGGAGCUAAGCUUCCAGAAGUUGAGGAAUGGCUCGCAGACGAGUUCGAGGAGUGUGUCAAAAAUAGAGGCAUGGUCAUAAGGGGUUGGGCACCACAGCUCAUGAUCCUGCAGCACCAAGCCGUUGGAGGAUUCGUGACGCACUGCGGGUGGAACUCAACAGUAGAGGGCAUCUGUGCAGGUGUGCCCAUGAUCACAUGGCCGCACUUUGAGGAGCAGUUUUUGAAUGAGAAGCUGCUGGUGGAUGUGCUGAAAAUCGGAAUGGAGGUUGGAGUGAAAGGAGUUACACAGUGGGGAAGUGAAAACCAGGAGGUUAUGGUUACAAGAGAUGAGGUGCAGAAAGCUGUGAACACCCUGAUGGAUGAGGGGGCGGCUGCAGAAGAGAUGAGGGUGAGAGCAAAAGACUGCGCCAUUAAAGCAAGGAGGGCUUUCGAUGAGGGAGGUUCUUCGUAUGACAACAUAAGGCUAUUAAUUCAAGAAAUGGAAAUCAAGACGAAUGCAUGUGGUUCAGUGGUUGAUACAGAUGAGUUGAUAAGAGUUCAGAAAGGAGAAAAAUGA
rnacentral:rRNA from 1 species